CAGGCUUUGCAGAAAGUGGUG
rnacentral:piRNA from 1 species